GAGUUGGGGUCCCUCGGGGCCCGAUCUCCAACCCUUUGUCUAUUCCACCGCGUCGCUUCGGCGGGCCCGCGCCCACCGAUCGCGACCGCAGUCUUGAAACACAACCACACAAAACUUUCAACAACGGAUCUCUUGGCUCU
rnacentral:misc_RNA from 1 species